rnacentral:lncRNA from 1 species
UUUCCUUUCUUAUUCUUCAUUCAUAGUUGCCAUAAACACUUGAUCAAUCACUUUUCCAUGGAGUCGUUGAUCAGCUUAUAUGCAAGUCCUGUCCAUGAACCAAUCAUACCUACCUUAGAAGACAUUCCUUAUUGGAUGAUUGAUUUCUUCUACAUUGACUUCCAAUACACCCACAUAACUUUACCCUCCAAACACAAUGGUACUAAAUCCUUUACAACAACAACCAAUGAAAGCUUCUUCAUUCCUUAUGAAAUCUUAUGCAUUUGUAAUGAAUUCACAGUCAAGGAGAGGG